GGUGCCUGCUCUCCCUUCCACCGUAAUUGUGAGUUUCCUGAAGCCUUUUCAUCCAUGCGCAACUUGAAAAGCUGAAGUGAUGUAAGGAGAAUAAUAAAGAACUCAGAAGACAAUUAUACAGCUGACGUCAACGCUGAGCACUGCUUCUCCUAUCAAUGAUUUCCAACUGCUUUGUGAGUUCCAGGGAUCUGGUCAACCCUUCCAGCCUCCUUCACUGGAUGAGGAUGAGAACGCGUAACAGGACUGUAGGUUUCUGGGCUGUACUCCACACAGUUCAGUCUAGCAAGAUUCUGAAUAUAAUUUUGUUUGAAGGAAAAUUUGAACCCCACCUCCCCAAAAGUGUAAUGUUUUAUCUUCUACAGAUCUGGCAUAGCCAGUGGCAAAUGGAAUUGGUCCCUAUCUCUGUGACUCUGUAAAUAAAUGCCAUUUUUAUUCCA